rnacentral:rRNA from 1 species
GAUCCUGGCUCAGGACGAACGCUGGCGGCGUGCCUAACACAUGCAAGUCGAACGGAGAUGUUUAUUUCGGUAGACAUCUUAGUGGCGCACGGGUGAGUAACGCGUGAAUAACCUGACCCGAAGAGGGGGAUAACACCUGGAAACAAGUGCUAAUACCGCAUAAGACCACGGACCGGCAUCGGUCAGAGGUCAAAGGAGGAAUCCGCUUUGGGAGGGGUUCGCGUCCCAUUAGGUAGUUGGUGAGGUAACGGCCCACCAAGCCG